CCUACGGGUGGCAGCAGUGAGGAAUAUUGGUCAAUGGGCGCGAGCCUGAACCAGCCAAGUAGCGUGAAGGAUGACUGCCCUACGGGUUGUAAACUUCUUUUAUAAAGGAGUAAAGUGAGGCACGUGUGCCUUUUUGUAUGUACUUUAUGAAUAAGGAUCGGCUAACUACGUGCCAGCAGCCGCGGUAAUACGGAGGAUCCGAGCGUUAUCCGGAUUUAUUGGGUUUAAAGGGAGCGUAGAUGGGUUGUUAAGUCAGGUGUGAAAGCUUGAGGCUCAACUGUGAAAUUGCAAUUGAUACUGGUCAGCUAGAGUGCAGUUGUGGCAGGCGGAAGGUGUGGGGUAGCGGUGAAAUGCUUAGAUAUUAGAGAGAACACCGAGUGCGAAGGCAGCUUACUAAGCCACUACUGACGUUGAGGCUCGAAAGCGUGGGGAGCAAACAGGAUGAGAUACCCGGGUAGUC
rnacentral:rRNA from 1 species